rnacentral:rRNA from 1 species
UCAGAUUGAACGCUGGCGGCAGGCAUAACACAUGCAAGUCGAGCGGUAGCACAGAGAGCUUGCUCUCGGGUGACGAGCGGCGGACGGGUGAGUAAUGUCUGGGAAACUGCUGAUGGAGGGGGAUAACUACUGGAAACGGUAGCUAAUACCGCAUAAUGUCGCAAGACCAAAGUGGGGGACCUUCGGGCCUCAUGCCAUCAGAUGUGCCCAGAUGGGAUUAGCUAGUAGGUGGGGUAACGGCUCACCUAGGCGACGAUCCCUAGCUGGUCUGAGAGGAUGACCAGCCACACUGGAACUGAGACACGGUCCAGACUCCUACGGGAGGCAGCAGUGGGGAAUAUUGCACAAUGGGCGCAAGCCUGAUGCAGCCAUGCCGCGUGUGUGAAGAAGGCCUUCGGGUUGUAAAGCACUUUCAGCGGGGAGGAAGGCGGUGAGGUUAAUAACCUCAUCGAUUGACGUUACCCGCAGAAGAAGCACCGGCUAACUCCGUGCCAGCAGCCGCGGUAAUACGGAGGGUGCAAGCGUUAAUCGGAAUUACUGGGCGUAAAGCGCACGCAGGCGGUCUGUCAAGUCGGAUGUGAAAUCCCCGGGCUCAACCUGGGAACUGCAUUCGAAACUGGCAGGCUAGAGUCUUGUAGAGGGGGGUAGAAUUCCAGGUGUAGCGGUGAAAUGCGUAGAGAUCUGGAGGAAUACCGGUGGCGAAGGCGGCCCCCUGGACAAAGACUGACGCUCAGGUGCGAAAGCGUGGGGAGCAAACAGGAUUAGAUACCCUGGUAGUCCACGCCGUAAACGAUGUCGAUUUGGAGGUUGUGCCCUUGAGGCGUGGCUUCCGGAGCUAACGCGUUAAAUCGACCGC